GCUCACUGAAAAUUAAAGAGCCGCAGUAUACUAACUGUGCUAAGGUAGCAAAAUAAUUUGUCUCCUAAUUAGAGACCAGAAUGAAAGGAGUGACGAAAAUAUACUAUCUCAUUUAACUAUUUAAAAAUUAGCUUUUAGGUCAAAAGACCUAAAUAACUUAGCAAGACGAUAAGACCCUAUAAAACUUAACUUUUUAAACCUUUGAUACAACAAAAAAGAUCCAAAAAAGUUUUACUGGGGCAGUAUUUAUAUAACUAUUAACUAUACUAAACAAAACAUUUAUUUAUGAAAAAUAAAUCUUAAAUUAAAUAUAAAACCAAGUUACUUUAGGGAUAACAGCAUAAUACUUUUUAAGAGUUCUUAUCAACAAAAGUGAUUAUGACCUCGAUGUUGAAUUGGGAAUACAUUAAAAAGCAGCCAUUUUAAAUGAAAGUC
rnacentral:rRNA from 1 species